GGUCGAGGCAGGCAUCAAGGAUUGAAAGUCGUACAUUUAUUUCCUUCACCAGGUGAUCAGCUGCAUUUUGCAGUCCCUUUUUAAAAUUAAAUUUAUUCGAUUUUCUCAAUUUUUAUUUGUCGAUAGAUUAAUUGAUAGAUUACCGUAGCGCGACGGGGUAAGAGUUCUCAUAUUUCCUUGAGAACUUACUUGGCUUAAAUUUACUUGGCUGUAUGUGAUACGUGCCAAGUUUGAGCAGGAGUUAAGGUGAGAAUGACGAGUUGGGUAAGGAAAGUAAACCUCAAUUGUCGGUGAACUCAUUCAGCACUGCCUAGGAAGUCGUCACCUUGUGUAUUAAGGAGCGUUCAUCAAUGAGUAUUUCAGGGGCUGAGGGGGUAAAGGUGGAGUAUUCUAUCUGACGAUGAAACAAACAAGGACAUACCCGAGAUGAGCUGCUUCCAGUGGCCUUUUCUUCUGAGUAUUUUCAAGGGGUCGUGUGUUCCGUGAAGUUGCUGUCCGAUCAUGUGGGACGUUGUUGCAGCCUAUGCUGGUGAAAGAUCUUUAUGCAUUAAUUUAAACUGGCUGUUCCUUGGUGCUGGUGUCGUGUUACCGAAGUUGCAUCAUUAUUUUGUUAAAUUGUCAUUGGGUCUGUUUACCAGUUAUAUGUUAAGAAGGAACA